UCACCCAGUUCGGACACCCCACCCCCUUAAGGCCUCAAAUGCCGUUGGUUGGGGGGUGGGGGCCCAUAGACACCUCCUGUGUGGGGGGAGUCCAUCUUCCCAACCUUAAUCUACUCAAUUAUUCGGGUGUUUAGGCCCCUAGAUCCCUCAGCGCCCAGGACCCAAAAGCGGCAGCUCUGAAGCCCGUCCACCCUAAGGUCCCCAAAGUCUUCCUCCCUCGGUUCACAGGAGUGUAGGCCCCAGCCUCCUCUUCCUUUGGUCCGGGAGUCUGGACCCCUGGGGUCCCAGGGAGGGGGUGUGUCGGGUGCUCACACGGUGGUGACACGGGCUUGGGCGGGGCGUCAUGGGGUCACAUGGAGUCUAGGGAUGAGGAAUGUGCCCCAGGAAUAGAGCCCCUUCCUGUCCCUUACAGAUGGUGGGGGAGGGGGAAGGGGGUACAGCGCGCAGGGGAUGGGGUUGGGUAAUUACAGUGGAAUUACAGAGCUGUCAUUUUUUUCUCUCACCUGCCCAACCCUCCACCUACCCUCUCCCUGCCCCCCUAUUCCUGAACUUCCGUCCCUCUUUCUCUGGGUCGCUGUCUUUCUGUGUCUCAAUCCCUUCCCGGCAUUCUGUCCCCAUCUCUGUGAAUCUGUCCACCUGUCUCUGCCACCCCCGUCUCCGUUCUUUCUGGGUCUCUCUCCCACUCUGCGUCUCCGUCCCUUCAUUUCCCGUCUCUCCUCUCCGACUCCCCAUCCCCUCUUUCUCUGGAUCUCCGCCCUGUGCCUCUCGGACUCGGGGUCUCUUCUCCCAUCUCUAUCUCCACCCCCCCGCCAUCCCAACCCGUCUUUCCCGGCCCGCAGGUCUCCUGAAGGAAAAGGAGCGCAAGGCGGCCCUGCCCGCAGCCACAACCCCUGGGCCAGGCCUGGAGACUGCGGGCCCAGCGGAUGCCCCGGCUGGGGCGGUGGUGGGCGGCGGGUCCCCGCGGGGGCGCCCGGGGCCAGUUUCCGCCCCGGGUCUGUUGGCGCCACUGCUUUGGGAGCGCACGCUGCCGUUCGGCGAUGUGGAGUACGUGGACCUGGACGCCUUCCUGCUGGAGCACGGGCUCCCGCCCAGCCCGCCGCCCCCCGGUGGCCCAUCGCCGGAGCCGUCGCCCGCGCGGACGCCCGCACCCUCCCCAGGGCCGGGCUCGUGCGGCUCCGCUUCCCCCCGCUCCUCUCCUGGGCACGCCCCCGCCCGGGCUGCCCUCGGGGCCGCCAGCGGCCACCGCGCAGGUGCGGCGAAGGGGGCGGGGCGGGUCCUGACGGGGCGGGGCUUGGACUCAGGGGGCGGGGCUGUGCGACGCUGGGGGCUGGGACCGUGGGACCGGGCUGCGGCCCCGAAUUUUGUGUCCAGUUGUCGAGCGGUGUCGUGGGAGGGGGCCAGAUUCUGUGUCUCUUAAUGGGUCAGGAACUUGGUCUUCUGGCUCCAUAGGGGAGGAGAGACUUGGAACCCUAAAUUCCAGGAAGCCUGCCCAAUGAGAUUUUGUGGGUUUUUCUGUGGGACGUGGGGACAAAGGAUGUGGAUACUCGUGAAGCCAGAACUGGAAGUCCGGAACACCAGAGUUAUUUACUGGGCAGUGGACUGACCCCAGAAUCUGGACCCAUAAUCGAUGGAACUGGGAUAGAACUGGAGCCCCUAGGUCCUUUACAGGAGCAAAGGAGGGGCGCAGAAUUCUGUUUACCCAGGACAUAAGAGACUGGCAGCCCAGUUCUUGGGUCCCCCAGUGGGGCGUGCUGCAGCCCCAGGUCCCAGAGUUCUUCAGAAGGGAAGACGUUAGGGAUCUUGUUUCUGGAUUCUCCAACUGGGGCUAGGACCAAGCUUCCUAUAUUCCUAGGAGAGGCGUGGGAUCCCGGAAUCGUGUGUACCCCAGUGGCGGGGGGCCUGGGAAGGUCCAGGAGGCCGAUGCUCCCUGGAGAGCAGGGGAUUGGGAUCUUUGGGGGGUGAGAUGUUGGAGCUAAGUGACUGGAAGAGCAAGAGGAAAGAUGUUUCCCUUUGGGCAUAUUGAGGUCUCCAGGGACGGACUACAGUUUGGGAAUUCCUGGGCACACCUGCCCCAGGUCCGACCUCCGGGCCGAACCAGGGCCCUACCCUUCCCAGCCGCACAUUCCUGCGCCACGCCUGACCUCUCGGGACACACCCAGCCCUGUGGACCCAGACACCGUGGAGGUGCUGAUGACCUUUGAACCCGACCCAGCUGAUCUUGCCCUAUCAAGCAUUCC